UUUAAAACUGAAUAACCGAAUUUACUCAUGUUUUGGUUAUAAAAUAGGUAAAAAUUAGGUACUUUUAAACCGAAAAACCGAUUGGGACCCGAACCCGAAAGUAUAUUGGGUUGUACCGGUUCUUUGAAAAUUUACUAACCCCGACCCAAACCCGAUAGAACCCGAACCGGUCCCGAACCGAACUUUCAUAUAAUCCGAAUGGGGCUGAUUUUGAUAAACCCGAAAAACCGAAACCCGAUUGGAUAAAACCGA
rnacentral:lncRNA from 1 species